GGGGCAGGUACCACAGCACUCGGCCUCUGGCUGUCGUCCGCUGCCUCUCCGUGCUGCCGGCGGAGCCCAGGGCAAAACUCAGAGGAAGGGCCCAUUUCUUGCACUUAAUACCCAUCAAGUGUUUGUCUGACUCUGCAGCAUGAGAACUCUGGAAUUAUGCCUUGUAAUUCAGGAACUUCAAGGAGCAAGGCCGCAUCCCAGCGCGGAGAACGUGUGUGUUCACUGCAAGAGAGGAAAAGCUGAUUGCAUUAGGGGCUUGCUCUACUUCCUAUCUUACGUCUAGAGACCGUGGUUAGUGCAAGCACAAAUGCUGGGCUGAAAAAGGGUCCUGGAUCAAAAAGUUGCCUUGACUGUUUUAAUGGCUGUUCUGGUUCUUUUCCUUCUAAUUACUUGCCAGUGCCAGAGUGAGUUGUUCUUGUACAGUCAGCACUGCAGAUUCUUUGGAGACCCCAAAACAGUUGAAUAAAAGCUAGUAAAUCUAACAAGUUGCUCAGUGAGCAGUGGAACUUGUGAAGCCAGGCUUCCUGUGCCUCUCCAGUGUGGAUGCUUUGGUGUCUAAUAACAUCAGUGUCUCUGAAGUGGUUGCACAUGUGGAUUCUCUGAUGGCUGAUAAGAGAGCCACAACUGGCAACAAAGACACUCUGAUUCUGGUUUGGAUGUCAUGUUUCUGGACCUCUGUGGAGUUUCAGGACUUGCAUCUUGAAUGGCCAGGAAGAUCUGAAGUCCCUGCUAUUAUUUCUUGUUCGCUAUCCCUGUUACUGUCAGUUAUCAUCCUUAUUCCUACCGUUGUUGAAGCUGCAGAAACCUAGAAGAGGAAGACAAGCUCUCCCUGCAAAGAGCUGGUCAUGCCCACUUUACGUUAUAUUCAUGUUAUGACUAUCAGCAUACUGCUUUCAUUCUCCUAACUCUGCACUAUGCUAUGGGAUGUAGCUAAGGAAGGACUUAUGCUCAAAAUAGUAUUUUGAGAAGUGUUACUUCAGGUAGAAAAAAAUUACAAACUAUGAGCACACGGAUUUCCCCUUCCAUAGGCAGUAUAACUGUGAUUACUGUUGGGCAAGUAGUUCUGGAGUUAGAAAUCAGGAAACCUGACAAUGUCAUGGUUGGUAAUCAUCUGACAACUGACCACUGUUCUGCUUAGUGCCAACUGGCAAACACCUACCAUAACCAGUGCAAUGGAAAAACACAGCAAUGCAAUGUCCAGCAAUACCUACAUUAUUCCUCAUAUUCCUGCUUUAGCCUUUUACUGAAAAUUUAGUUACGGUCUUAAUUACUCUUCUGUAGUCUAUGUGCUGCAGAAAUACACUGGAAUUGAUUAAAAUGCCUAUAAUUUUUGCCCAAGGUAAACGACUUAAGUCAUUGAUUUGAAGCAGGAUUUCAUUUCGAUUAUACCACAGUCACUGGACUCUUGAACUGCUUCAGUUCCCUGCUUGCUUCCAGGAGACUUUCUUUUUUAAUAUGCUCAGUCUCUGCUCCUCAGCCAUCUGGUUUACAGCUCUUCAGCAUUUUCAUCCCAAUCCCCUUCAUAUGCAAGCCCAGAUUACAGAAGUUUGUUCCAGCUCCAGAUAAGUAGUAGCUGGAUUUUUCUGUCCCAGUUGCCAAAACUGCCACUGUCCAUCAGAGGGAACACAGUCCAGCUACGCAUCGCAACCUACAGGGCCUUGAGGUGCUUGUCCUGUAGCCCUUAUUUUGGUGAGUCAUGUGUACAGAAAUGAAUAUUGAUCAAGGGUAAAUAUCCCACGCU